ensembl:snoRNA
UGUAUGAAGCGUGAUGAAGUUGAAGAUCUCACAAAACCGUGGAGUCUAUAUUCAAUCCAACACUGAGCUUCAUACA